UACGGGGGGAGCAAGCGUUGUUCGGAUUUACUGGGCGUAAAGGGCGCGUAGGCGGCCAGCACAAGUCAGUUGUGAAAUCUCCGAGCUUAACUCGGAAAGGUCAACUGAUACUGUGCGGCUAGAGUGCGGAAGGGGCAACUGGAAUUCUUGGUGUAGCGGUGAAAUGCGUAGAUAUCAAGAGGAACACCUGCGGCGAAGGCGGGUUGCUGGGCCGACACUGACGCUGAGGCACGAAAGCGUGGGGAGCAAACAGG
rnacentral:rRNA from 1 species